rnacentral:rRNA from 1 species
GACAGAGGCCUCAAGCGUUAGGCGGAAUCACUGGGCUUAAAGCGUGUGUAGGCGGAUCGUUAAGUGUCUUGUGAAAUCCCACGGCUCACCCGUGGAACUGCUGGGCAUACUGGCGAUCUUGGGCCAACUAGGGGCAACUGGAACAAGCGGUGGAGCGGAUGAAAUGCGUAGAUAUCGCUUGGAACGCCAACGGUGAAAACAGGUUGCUGGGGUUGUGCCGACGCUGAGACACGAAAGCCAGGGGAGCAAACGGG